rnacentral:rRNA from 1 species
GAUGAACGCUGGCGGCGUGCCUAAUACAUGCAAGUCGAGCGAACAGACGAGGAGCUUGCUCCUCUGACGUUAGCGGCGGACGGGUGAGUAACACGUAGAUAACCUACCUAUAAGACUGGGAUAACUUCGGGAAACCGGAGCUAAUACCGGAUAAUAUAUUGAACCGCAUGGUUCAAUAGUGAAAGACGGUUUUGCUGUCACUUAUAGAUGGAUCCGCGCCGCAUUAGCUAGUUGGUAAGGUAACGGCUUACCAAGGCAACGAUGCGUAGCCGACCUGAGAGGGUGAUCGGCCACGGUGGAACUGAGACACGGUCCAGACUCCUACGGGAGGCAGCAGUAGGGAAUCUGCCGCAAUGGGCGAAAGCUUGACGGAGAAACGCCGCGGGAGUGAUGAAGGUCUUCGGAUCGUAAAACUCUGUUAUUAGGGAAGAACAAAUGUGUAAGUAACUAUGCACGUCUUGACGGUACCUAAUCAGAAAGCCACGGCUAACUACGUG